AAGUCGUAACAAGGUUUCCGUAGGUGAACCUGCGGAAGGAUCAUUAGUGAAUGAACUUGGUCAAGCUGUUUGCUGGUCCCUAGGGACAUGUGCACGCCUGGCUGUUGUUUCUAACCACCUGUGCACCUUUUGUAGACUUGGAGUUUUUGAAACUUUUUUUUUGUUUCGCAUGGGGAAUUGCAUCAGCUUUCCUUGUUCUCCGGUCUAUGUUUUUACAUACCAUUUCAAAUGUAGAGAAUGUUUAUUGGGCUCUUUCAGGCCCAUAAAAUAUAUACAACUUUCAACAACGGAUCUCUUGGCUCUC
rnacentral:misc_RNA from 1 species